rnacentral:rRNA from 1 species
GACGAACGCUGGCGGCGUGCUUAACACAUGCAAGUCGAACGGAAAGGCCCUGCUUUUGUGGGGUGCUCGAGUGGCGAACGGGUGAGUAACACGUGAGUAACCUGCCCUUGACUUUGGGAUAACUUCAGGAAACUGGGGCUAAUACCGGAUAGGAGCUCCUGCUGCAUGGUGGGGGUUGGAAAGUUUCGGCGGUUGGGGAUUGACUCGCGGCUUAUCAGCUUGUUUGUUGGGUAGUGGCUUACCAAUGCUUUGACGGGUAGCCGGCCUGAGAGGGUGACCGGAAAAAUUGGGAAUGAGAGACGGCCCAGAAUCAAACGGGAGGCAGCAGUGGGGAAUAUUGCACAAUGGGCGGAAGCCUGAUGCAGCAACGCCGCGUGCGGGAUGACGGCCUUCGGGUUGUAAACCGCUUUCGCCUGUGACGAAGCGUGAGUGACGGUAAUGGGUAAAGAAGCACCGGCUAACUACGUG